rnacentral:rRNA from 1 species
CGAACGCUGGCGGCGUGCUUAACACAUGCAAGUCGACCGGAAAGGCUCCAGCUUGCUGGAGUGCUCGAGUGGCGAACGGGUGAGUAACACGUGGGCAAUCUGCCCUGCACUCUGGGAUAAGCCUGGGAAACUGGGUCUAAUACCGGAUAGGACCUUUCUCCUCAUGGGGUUUGGUGGAAAGUUUUUCGGUGCAGGAUGAGCCCGCGGCCUAUCAGCUUGUUGGUGGGGUAAUGGCCUACCAAGGCGACGACGGGUAGCCGGCCUGAGAGGGUGAUCGGCCACAUUGGGACUGAGAUACGGCCCAGACUCCUACGGGAGGCAGCAGUGGGGAAUAUUGCACAAUGGGCGAAAGCCUGAUGCAGCGACGCCGCGUGAGGGAUGACGGCCUUCGGGUUGUAAACCUCUUUCAGUAGGGACGAAGCGCAAGUGACGGUACCUGCAGAAGAAGCACCGGCUAACUACGUG